UACAGUUGUUUAGGUAUCAAUGGUAAAAAUGAAGUUUCACGAACAGGAAGCCUACCAGUAGUAUGGUAUGCAUGCAACUGUAGUACCGGUAGUCAUAAAUAAUUUAACCUUUUAUGGUAAGAAAAUUGAACUUCAGUGUGUAACUGGAAGGCACAUGAUCAAUGAAUAAAUGGUAAUCUACAAGAUCAAGGUAGGAUUAAAUUUCAUGUGGUACUAACCACUUCAUACAGAACAUGGAAAAAGCAAAGGUACUCUGGAUCACUGGAUCAAGUCGACAGUGGAGCUGGCAAUGGCGAAGAAAGUUCUGGAUCCACUUUAAUCGGAUGAAAAGGCAGCAGAAUGUGUUCACCUUGUCUUGGAGAAUACUCGGAUCUUUUGCACUGUAGAGCAGGCAAGCAUCAUCAGCAAACAAUUUGCUCAAGAAAUUGGAGCAGUUAGACAGAUCAUUUAUGUAAAUUAAGAAACCAAGAGGACCUAACACACUACCUUGAGGAAUUCCGUGAUGAAUGGGCAACAUCGGAGACUGCUGAGAAUCCACCUCCACAUAUUGGAAUCGACCCGAAAGGUAAUUGCUUAAUAGUUUGCCUGUAGCACCUCGAAAGCCAUAGUGUCUCAGUUUUUGGGAAAGAAUACUAUGGUUGACAGUGUCAAAGGCUUUUUUUAAAUCGAGAAAAAUACAGCAGACAAAUUCGCCUUUGUCAAUUUUAUCAUAAAUAAAUGAUGUUAGAUCUAAAAUAGCAUGACUGGUGGAAUUAUUGGUUUGAAAUCCAAAUUGACGUUUAUUGAUCAGGUUGAAUUUUGUACAAAAAUUGAUCAAUCUGCAAUGUAAAAGU